AUGUUUUCGUCUAGCAGGGGUCAGAGAGAAAACAUCAGAAGCAGCACCUGGGGACGGAGGCACGGCCGGAGAGGCAACUCACCAUGCACACACACAGGUCGGGAGCGUUGCCGAAAGCAAUGUUCGCAUGACCGGACCCCCGUCGGAGAUGGAGCCGCCGGACCGGAAGGUGAAGUGGACGUUGCCGGAGAUGGUCUUCACCAAGCCAGCGCCACAAAGAACGACGAAGAGGUCGUUAUCACCACCUGUUGUUCGCCUCGUCACGACGGUUCGGCCAAGACGACGACACGGAGCACGCCACGAUGCCGCCCACCGUCGAGGUCGCCAGGUCGAUGCCCCGGAGGUCGACGCCACGGUGGCCACCCCACUCAUCACCGCGCGAUGAGGACGACGCGUCACCGGAACUCAUCUUCACCAAGCCCGCGCUAUGGAUGCUGA
rnacentral:rRNA from 1 species